AACGGGAUGGCCGAGCGGUCUAAGGCGCUGCGCCGAGCGGUCUAAGGCGCUGCGUUCAGGUCGCAGUCUCCCCUGGAGGCGUGGGUUCGAAUCCCACUUCUGACA
rfam:Xenopus tropicalis strain Nigerian Chr08_contig_3343, whole genome shotgun sequence.